CCGCAGGGGAGUGGCAGACGGGUGAGUAACGCGUGGGAAUCUACCCAGAUCUUCGGAACAACUGAGGGAAACUUCAGCUAAUACCGGAUACGCCCUACGGGGGAAAGAUUUAUCGGUUCUGGAUGAGCCCGCGUUGGAUUAGCUAGUUGGUGAGGUAAUGGCUCACCAAGGCGACGAUCCAUAGCUGGUCUGAGAGGAUGAUCAGCCACACUGGGACUGAGACACGGCCCAGACUCCUACGGGAGGCAGCAGUGGGGAAUAUUGGACAAUGGGCGAAAGCCUGAUCCAGCCAUGCCGCGUGAGUGAUGAAGGCCUUAGGGUUGUAAAGCUCUUUCAGUGGGGAAGAUAAUGACGGUACCCACAGAAGAAGCCCCGGCUAACUUCGUGCCAGCAGCCGCGGUAAUACGAAGGGGGCUAGCGUUGUUCGGAUUUACUGGGCGUAAAGCGCACGUAGGCGGAUCGUUAAGUCGGGGGUGAAAUCCUGGAGCUCAACUCCAGAACUGCCUUCGAUACUGGCGAUCUUGAGUCCGGAAGAGGUGAGUGGAACUCCUAGUGUAGAGGUGGAAUUCGUAGAUAUUAGGAAGAACACCAGUGGCGAAGGCGGCUCACUGGUCCGGUACUGACGCU
rnacentral:rRNA from 1 species